rnacentral:lncRNA from 1 species
ACAAUUCGAUCAUUUCUCAAUUAACAUUGUUUUCAAUAAUGUUAUUCUAGAAUACAUUCAAACCAAUGAAACUUUUUGAGAAUCAAUCUAUUGAGCAUAAGUUCACAUAUUUUGUUCUAUUUACCUUUAUAUUUUUGUAAAUGAGGCUCAUGAUAUAUAUAAAAAGAUCAAAUAUUUUACAUUUAGAACUAAUAUACACAUAUCUUGAAUAAUAAUAGGAAAAAAAAAAAAACCAAAAAGAAUGAUGCAGAAGAUAACACCACCAAAUUACAAUCAUAUAUGAACAAGAGAAACUAUAAAAAAAUUUCAAAGCUUUAUCAUUUGGGCUCAAUCGCUUCCUAGUGAACUCACUCGAGUUGAUUCAUUGCCUCCGACUUUAAAUAAUUAUCAUUUAAAGUGUUAAAUAAGUAUUAAAAACUCGCAUAAACUAUUUAAACCUUACUAUAAUUAGCCGUCGAACCCGGUUUGACUCCACACCGCAUCUCGAACCCGGCUCAGGUCCCGUCCCUUGAGCGUCCGACCGACGCCCUCAAACACCGAGUUGGCGGCCAUUUUCCGGCUACUCGCGUAUUGACGAGCAAGAUACUCGUGCGGUGGAACAACUUCCGAAUUAUCAAUCAAUCCCUCGUCCGAGUCGUGCAACGACUCGACCGAGUUGACCCGGUAGAUCUUUGACCAAUCGGGCACGUUGACCGGAGCCGAUGUGGCGAGAUGGCGUCUACGUGGAGACUCCGCCACGCUGUCAUUUGCGCGGAUUUGGUGCACAAUGCUCGGUGAAGAUCCCCUGCCCGAAUCAUCAAAGGCCAAUGACAAGCCACCAAUCUGGCGGCGCUGGUGGCGGCUAGUACGAGGCUGCGGGAGGCGACUCAAGAAACCGCCGCCGGCGUGUGAGCUCCACUCGCCCCCAGAUGAGUGAUUUUCCCCUUUGACUGCGUCGUCAACAAUGGACCAAACUUCAUCCUCGUCCAGCUCCGAUCCACCGUUGACGGCGGCUGCGCCACCUUGAUCGUAGCAGAAGCUUCCUAGAAACAUUUCGCUGCGGCUGGUGGUCAUUAAUUUCCUGCCCUUGGCCAUUUAUCAAAAUAACUAAGCCCAAAAAAUCUUGAUGUUUUUGGCCUGUUGGUCGCCGGAAUAUUCUUGAUUCCUCACAAGGCCAAAAAUGUAAAGAAACUAUAUGUCUAUAUGUAUAUAAUUCAGUAUCAAUAAAAUUACUUUUCUAUCGAGUUCACCGGAAUCUUAUUUUCCGGCGACUCAAAAAGUAAAUCAGUGAGCUUAUAUGUUACUAUAUGCGAGUGUGAUAUUCAUCUANGUUAUUAAAUUAUUUUAAAUUAUUUGUAUAAUGAAAAUAUUUAAGAUUUAAUAACCGAUCGUUUUAAUAUUUUUUGAUAAUUUUUAUACCAUAUUAAAGAUCUUACGAACUUAAACUUAAGAUGCACAUUGAAUAUUUUUUUUAUAAAUUAAAUUUAACAAUGUUUAGAAAAAAAAUUGAUGAGAGAAGAGAGAGAAAAAAUGAAAGAAAAAAUGGAGGGAGAAAACUUUUCUUUUAUAUAUUAUAUAGAUUUAUUUUAACAAAAUGAUGGAAAGUCCCCUUCUUGAAAAAAUUUAACGGGAAAAACAAAAACAAAAAUUGUAAUUGUUCAAGUAAGUGGGAAAUGUCGCUCGUCCCACGUAGCUAGAACUACUUUUUUUUUUUUGUUCAUCGAUCAAAAUUUUUCUAUUUUAUUUCUAUAUUUCAUUAAAUAAUAUACAUGAUGAGUUGGUCGUACUUCAGAAAACUUAUAUAUGUAUUAUAUUGAUUUUAACAUCACAGUCGACUUUCAUUUAAAAAUAGUAAAUACUAGUACAAUCUUGCAUUUGCCCAUCAUCAUAUCCUUUUAUUCUCUUUACUCGAUCUAUAUUAGUGGUAUUUCAUUAGAUUUUAUUUUUUAAUAUUAAAGCUCUUUACACAUAUAUUCUUUUAUAAACAUAAAAUUUUAUUUGAGCCCAAAUUUAAUCAACGUCACAAAUAAAUUCUUAUAUAUUUUGUUACAUAUAUACAUGUAUGUUAUCUAUUGACGAAAGUGUGAGAAUCUAAGUGCACAAUUCGAUCAUUCUCAAUUAACAUGUUUCAAUAUAUAAUGUUAUUCUAGAAUACAUUCAAACCAAUGAAACUUUUUGAGAAUCAAUCUAUUGAGCAUAAGCUCACAUAUUUUGUUCUAUUUACCUUUAUAUUUUUGUAAAUGAGGCUCAUGAUAUAUAUAAAAGAUCAAAUAUUUUACAUUUAGAACUAAUAUACACAUAUCUUGAAUAAUAAAUAAGGAAAAAAAAAACCAAAAAAGAAUGAUGCAGAAGAUAACACCACCAAAUUACAAUCAUAUAUGAACAAGAGAAACUAUAAAAAAAUUUCAAAGCUUUAUCAUUUGGGCUCAAUCGCUUCCUAGUGAACUCACUCGAGUUGAUUCAUUGCCUCCGACUUUAAAUAAUUAUCAUUUAAAGUGUUAAAUAAGUAUUAAAAACUCGCAUAAACUAUUUAAACCUUACUAUAAUUAGCCGUCGAACCCGGUUUGACUCCACACCGCAUCUCGAACCCGGCUCAGGUCCCGUCCCUUGAGCGUCCGACCGACGCCCUCAAACACCGAGUUGGCGGCCAUUUUCCGGCUACUCGCGUAUUGACGAGCAAGAUACUCG